AAAGAGAGAGAGAGAGGCGAGCGAGCGAGCGACCGAGAGAGAGGAGAGCUCGAGCGAGAACGGGAGCAUGGCGCGAGAGAGAGCAGGGACAGGGCGCGAGACGGAGCGAGAGGAGUUGUCCUGUGCUAGAAACAGAGAGAACGAGAGGCAGAGAAAGAAGCACGAAGGCGGAUUCUGCGAUCAAAUUAGACGCGGCAAGUGCGGAGGCGACAAUCGAUGAUGCGGCAAAAUUGAACGACGUGGUUUACCCCGAGCACAACGAUUCGUACACUGCCACAUAUAUAAGCAGGUAUGAGAUGUUUAAUUUUUUUAGUAAAUUAAUAAUUUUUAAUUGUGAUGAAUUAUUUGAUUAAUUUCAUCGUUGAUGUGGUGUAUGAUCUAUAUGUUAACAGAUAAUAUAUUUUUAGGGCAUAGUAGAAUC
rnacentral:lncRNA from 1 species